rnacentral:rRNA from 1 species
GAUGAACGCUGGCGGCGUGCCUAAUACAUGCAAGUCGAGCGAACGGACGAUGAGCUUGCUUCUCUGAUGUGAGCGGCGGACGUGUGAGUAACACGUGGAUAACCUACCUAUAUUACUGAGAUAACUUCGGGAAAGCGGAUCUUAUACCGUAUAAUCUUUUGAACCGCAUGGGUCGAAAGUGAAAGUCGGCCUUUGUGUAUCUUCUAGAUGCAUCGGCGCUGCAUUAGCUAGUUGGUAAGGUAACGGCCUACGAAGGCAACGAUGCAUAGCCGAACUGAGAGGGUGAUCGGCCACACGGGAAGUGAGACGCCGUCCAGACUCCUACGGGAGGCAGCAGUAGGGAACGUUCCGCAAUGGGGGAGAGCCUGACGGAGCAAGCCGGCGUGAGAGAUGACGGUCUUCGGAUCGUAAAACUCUGUUAUUAGGGAAGAACAUAUGUGUAAGUAACUGUGCACAUCGUGACGGUACCUAAUCAGAAAGCCACGGCUAACUACGUG